rnacentral:rRNA from 1 species
GGCAUAUUGCACAAUGGGCGCAAGCCUGAUGCAGCCAUGCCGCGUGUAUGAAGAAGGCCUUCGGGUUGUAAAGUACUUUCAGCGGGGCGGAAGGCAAUCCGGUUAUUAACCGUGUUGAUUGACGCUACCCGCAGAAGAAGCACCGGCUCACUCCGUGCCAGCAGCCGCGGUAAUACGGAGGGUGCAAGCGUUAAUCGGAAUUACUGGGCGUAAAGCGCACGCAGGCGGUCUGUCAAGUCGGAUGUGAAAUCCCCGGGCUCAACCUGGGAACUGCAUUCGAAACUGGCAGGCUUGAGUCUUGUAGAGGGGGGUAGAAUUCCAGGUGUAGCGGUGAAAUGCGUAGAGAUCUGGAGGAAUACCGGUGGCGAAGGCGGCCCCCUAGACAAAGACUGACGCUCAGGUGCGAAAGCGUGGGGAGCAAACA